CCCCAUGGAAGAGGUAUUUUUAUACCCAUUCUACAGGAGUGAAGAAUUGCCAGAAGACUGAGGCAGAGGGAAGAUGGAUCGAGCACGGUUCAGAUGCUUCCCUACCCACACAGGAAGGAAAGGAUUAAAUCACUCAUUUCAUGGACCUUGGUUGAGAUCCUAUGUAUGAAGUACCUGGCACCACCAGCCAUGCUACAAACAUCACGUCCUUCUCCAGGUCUGCUCCCAUCUUACCAACGCUCUUUCAGAUCACUUACUCUGAAGGAAGCCUGUGCCAAGCUGCGAAUACAAUAAAGCAGCCUCAAGAACAGGUCUGCAUGGCCAGGAACUCCAACCACCUGCUGGUGAGUGAGUAAUCUUUGAAGAAGGCGCUGCAACCCAACUGCCAUCUUGGCCGUGACCAAGAGAAAAUGAUGACCUGAACCAUCCAGGUAAACCGUUUACAAAUCCUUUGCCAACCAUGCUGUGAGACCAUCAGUGUUGGUUGUUUAAGCCAUUAAGUUUUGGGAUCGUUUUUAACAUAUCAAUAUAUAAAUAAUAUAAUUGUGUAAUAUCUUGGAGGCUUCAAAGUGUGUCAUCUCCCUCUAUUCCAAACAGAUAUGUAUAAUCUAAUGAGCUCUCGUCCCCACUGUCCUAACACUGCCUGGCAUUUCUUCUCUGUGCUCCAAAAGGUUCUAGUUCCUUUUCCAUUGGAGUGGUAACUAAAUCUUCCAGAUUCCUCCCACUUCUCACCUGAACUCCAUCCUUUGAUCUGACUCCUGUGCCAACUGAGUGGCCCUAAGCAAGUUACUCAUGCUCUGUUUCUUAUUAUUGCUGUAAGUCAGUGGAGAUUAAAAAUUAUAACCAAUUAACUGAGAUACAGAUGAUUCCCCACUUACAGUGGUUCAAUUUAGGAUAUUAUGAUGAUGUCAAAGGUAAUACUACAUGUUCAGUAGACAUUUUAGUUCAAACUGUGCCCCUUUUCUGGUUUAGUGACACAGUAUGACACACAGUAUCAUCCUCUUCUUCUGUUGUUUAGUUCUAAUGAGUCACCUUCCAGCCACCUAUCUGAUUAGAAAGGUAAAUAACCAACAUUGUAUUAGUAUACUGCAUUCAAUAAAAUACAAUGGCUACUCAACACUAUUACAAAAUUAUCUCUGUGUUAGAUAUUUUUGCUCAAUUCCAGGCUAAUGUAAAUGUUUUGAUCACAUUUAA